rnacentral:rRNA from 1 species
GACGAACGCUGGCGGCGUGCCUAAUACAUGCAAGUAGAACGCUGAAGGAGGAGCUUGCUUCUCUGGAUGAGUUGCGAACGGGUGAGUAACGCGUAGGUAACCUGCCUGGUAGCGGGGGAUAACUAUUGGAAACGAUAGCUAAUACCGCAUAAGAGUAGAUGUUGCAUGACAUUUGCUUAAAAGGUGCAAUUGCAUCACUACCAGAUGGACCUGCGUUGUAUUAGCUAGUUGGUGGGGUAACGGCUCACCAAGGCGACGAUACAUAGCCGACCUGAGAGGGUGAUCGGCCACACUGGGACUGAGACACGGCCCAGACGCCUACGGGAGGCAGCAGUAGGGAAUCUUCGGCAAGGGACGGAAGUCUGACCGAGCAACGCCGCGGGAGUGAAGAAGGUUUUCGGAUCGUAAAGCUCUGUUGUAAGAGAAGAACGAGUGUGAGAGUGGAAAGUUCACACUGUGACGGUAUCUUACCAGAAAGGGACGGCUAACUACGUG